GGGGAAUAUUGGCCAAUGGGCGAAAGCCUGACCCAGCAACGCCGCGUGAGGGAAGAAGGGUUUCGGCUCGUAAACCUCUGUCCUAUGGGACGAAGGAAGUGACGGUACCAUAGGAGGAAGCCCCGGCUAACUACGUGCCAGCAGCCGCGGUAAUACGUAGGGGGCGAGCGUUGUCCGGAAUGAUUGGGCGUAAAGGGCGCGUAGGCGGCCUGCUAAGUCUGGAGUGAAAGUCCUGCUUUCAAGGUGGGAAGUGCUUUGGAUACUGGUGGGCUGGAGUGCAGGAGAGGAAAGCGGAAUUACCGGUGUAGCGGUGAAAUGCGUAGAGAUCGGUAGGAACACCAGUGGCGAAGGCGGCUUUCUGGACUGAAACUGACGCUGAGGCGCGAAAGCGUGGGGAGCAAACAGGAUUAGAUACCCUGGUAGUCCACGCGGUAAACGAUGAAUGCUANGUGUUGGGGAGCAAAGCUCUUCGGUGCCGCCGCAAACGCAUUAAGCAUUC
rnacentral:rRNA from 1 species